rnacentral:lncRNA from 1 species
CCAGCUUUUUUGCUCUACUCAGAAUCUAAAAUGAUUUCCCCAAAAAACCAACAAAAUCAAAAUACUAUAUAAAAUGUUUGUCGAUUUUGUUUGGAGCUAGAUUUUUAAUAGAAACGUUUUACACGGCUACGAAAUUAAAACCAAAAAAAGAAAAUUUAGCAUUUCACAUAUUUUGCACGAUGAGUGGGCCACUGUUGUAGGUGAAAAGUUGGGAAGGUAGGAUAUAGAGGGUAUUUAAUGUAUAUCUGUAUGCAACAAUUAAUCUUUGUUAACGAAAAACGAUUCUGAGUGGAUUUUAGUCAUAUAUAUGUUUUGAAAAGCUGAAAUAUACACAAUUGGAAAAUAAUAAAUUUCGUAAAUUGUCCAGUUUUUUUAUACAUUAAAUAACUAUAUGUAUCCUACCUUCCCAACUUCUAACUUACAACAAUAGUACACCCAUCAGCAGUAUUAGAUCUUUUUAUUAUUAAUUAUUUAUUAACAAUUUCGCAUAUAAAUACAAGUAAUAUUACAUAAAAUACUUAAACAUUAAACAUAAUAUUAUUUAAAGGGGGUAGCUUACAAACGUAAUACAAAAGGAAAAUUAAAUUAUUACUGGAACAUAGAGAUUUAGAAAUUUAAAAAAGAGGCAUUUUCGUUAGCUAAUCACAUCAUUUGAUAUAAAGGAUGGUUACGACCAAAGUUCGUGGAAUGAAUCGGGACAAAACAAGGGGAGUGAGAACGCAAAGAACGAAGGAGUUCCGUUCACCUGGGAAAGGAGGGAAGGGUAGUCAAUGGAGCCAUCAAGUAGCUUGGACAAGAAUCGAUUAUUAGCAGACACUUUUCUGUCCGCUAGUGAAUCCAUAGAAAGGAAACUAAGGACGCUAGAGUAAUAGUGCUGUUUAUGUUCGAUUUUAAAAACGUAAGCCGCAAAGGAAAAAAAAAGCACUGCACUCUCUUAAUAUCACAAGACCCAGAAGCAAUGUACGGGUCCCAAAUCACUGAAGAGAGCUCUAAAAUAGAACGAACGAAGGAGCAGUAAAUAGAUUUUAUAAAAGCAACAAGUUUAAACUCACUUGAAACACGUUUUAUUAAGUCUAAAACUUUGAGAGCUUUACAGCACGUGGACUCAAUGUGAGGGUAAUAGCCUAGGGUGGACGUCAAGGUAAUUCCUAAAUCUUAACAGAAGUAAUCAAUAAUAGAGAAGUUCCACCAAUGUCAUACGAAUAAUCAAUGUUAGAGCGCCUUCUACUAAAUGACAGACUUGAAUUUGCCAAUAUAAAAAUGCAGGCAAAGGUGAGAGAACCAUUCAACUACGUUAUUUAAAUCGUUUUGAAGCGCAGUGCAGUCACUGAUUGAGGAUAUUUUCUGAAUCAAUUUCAGAUUACAAAAAUAAGAAAAUUACAGUUGAGUAAAACUCACUCAACACCGUUAAUAAAAACAGCAAAGAUAAGAAGAGACAAGUGGCUCCCUCGAGGGGACAUUAGAUGGCACACAAGUGACAGCAGCUUUAUGCCCUAUUAUUUUAACCCAUUAGACUCUAUCUGACAGUUAGAACCUUAUCCAGGAUAAUAAUGGAUCACCAAACCUGGACUUAUGUAAAGUACCAAUAAGGAAUCUGUGGUCGACGUGAUCAAACGCUUUCUGAAAAUCAGUGAAUAUGGCAUUAACUUGUGUAUAGUGUUCGCAUCAAGAAUGAAAUUCUUGAAUAUAAGAGAGUUAGUAAGGGCAGAGUGGCCAAGUCUGAAUCCAUACUGCUUGUCUAUAAGGAUAGAACUAAUAGAAUUCUGAAUUUUGGACAGAAAUAAAGCUUUAGUACACUUUAGCGAAUGUAGAUUCGCCUAUAGUUACAUAUGUCAAAUUUACCUCCUGACUUAUGGACAAAAGUGACAAAACUAAUUUUCCACAUAGAGGGGAAACAACUUUCAUCUAGUAAACGCUUAAAUAGAAGGAAUAAUGGGAAACAUAACAGACUUGAUGUUGUACAAAAAAGACCCAGAUAAACCAUCGGGGUCUACACAAUUAAUAUUUACUAGUUUAUCAAGUCUAGCUUCAAUAAAAACACUCUAUACACAUUGACACUAGCCAAGUGUUGUGCAUACACAUUAUAUAUAAUUUACAACUUGAAUAGGAAUUUUAAAAAAAAUGGUCAAUAUUGAGUUGUCAUUCAAAACAUAUUAUUUAUUUUGGCAAAUGAAUUAUCA